rnacentral:lncRNA from 1 species
AAAAAGAAUAGGUGGAUAGCAGCUGCUGGUUUAAUCAUCCCCUUCCUGUCCCUGCUCAUAUUCAUGAAUGGGAUUACUGCCCUUGUAAGACAUCAAGGGAACUUUUUCCCCUUCUGCCAUGUGAGGACACAUAGAAGGCAUAAUCUAUGAAACAGAGAGUCAGCCCUUUCUCUAGUUGCUGAAUCCGCAAUCCCUGGGUCUUGGACUUCCCAGCCCCUGGAAUUGUGAUAAAUUCCUUUUAUUUAUAAGCCUUCCAGUUUAUGAUAUUUUGUAAUCACAGCUCAGAUGGAUUAAGAAAGUAGCAAAGUAUCUUCUUCAAAAUAUCCGUUAACUGCAGAGGAAAAAAAAGGAAUUUUAUAGUGGAGAUAUUCAGCCUACACCACCUUACCAAGUAAUUAAUGUUAACAUCAUAAGUGAAGUAACAGAUAUAUCAGCCCCUGUAAUUUGAGACACUGGAAAUGGCUGAUUUAUUCUGUAGUAUUCUGCCC